CUGCACCAGAGGAUUUCUGCACCAUUUCACCCGAAAGUCACACUUUUAAAGUUAAUUAUUAGAGAGUAAUAACCUGCAGUCUGUCUGCUUGCUUGCUAAAGUGGAAGGUUUCGCCAUUUAAGCGCAAACCUGAUCCUCAUUAUUGGACUUUUUUUUUUUUUUAAGGACAGUCAAGGUGUGCCCUCUGACAGAGCGUCUCUGGGCACAUCACCCGGAUUUCCACCGCUUUGAUUUCAUUUUUUUAAUUUUUAAUUUUUCUUUCACUCCAAGAGGCUACUCUUUAAUUUUCUCGCAUGAAUCUGUUCGACGCUUAUCUGACGAUGGCCGAGGAACAGAGGUGUCACUCCGACGCUCCCAGUCCCAGCAUGUCCGAGGACUCGGCCGGCUCUCCGUGCCCGUCCGGCUCCGGCUCCGACACGGAGAACACCCGGCCGACGGACAACCACCUGCUGCGGGCCGGAGACUGCAAGACGGAGGGCGAGGACGAGAAGUUCCCCGUGUGCAUCAAGGACGCGGUGUCCCAGGUCCUGAAGGGCUACGACUGGACGCUCGUGCCGAUGCCCGUGCGCGUCAACGGCUCGUCCAAGAGCAAGCCGCACGUGAAGAGGCCCAUGAACGCCUUCAUGGUGUGGGCUCAGGCCGCGCGGAGGAAGCUGGCCGACCAGUACCCGCAUCUGCACAACGCGGAGCUCAGCAAGACUCUCGGGAAGCUCUGGAGAUUACUCAAUGAAGUGGAGAAACGGCCGUUUGUGGAGGAGGCUGAGCGUUUGAGGGUGCAACACAAGAAAGAUUAUCCCGAUUACAAAUACCAGCCGAGACGCAGAAAGUCUGUGAAGAACGGCCAGAGUGAAGGACCUGAGGACGGAGAGCAAACCCACAUCUCUCCGAACGCGAUCUUCAAGGCGCUGCAGCAGGCAGACUCUCCUGCGUCCAGCAUGGGCGAAGUGCACUCACCCGGAGAGCAUUCAGGUCAGUCACAGGGACCUCCAACGCCUCCAACCACCCCGAAGACGGACCUCCCGUCCAGCAAGGCCGACUUGAAGCGUGAAGGUCGCACCGUGGCGGACGGCGCGAGUCGCCAGAUCAACAUUGACUUUGGCGCCGUGGACAUCGGCGAGCUGAGCAGCGACGUCAUCUCCAACAUCGGAAGCUUCGACGUCGACGAGUUCGAUCAGUACCUGCCGCCUCACAGCCACGCUGCGGCCCAGGCAGGCUACGCCGGCAGCUACGGCCUCAGCAGCUCCUCCGUCAGCCAGGCCACCGGAUGCUGGAUAUCCAAACAGCAGCAGCAGCAGCAGCAGCAGCAACACUCUCUGACGACCCUGGGAGGAGGAGGAGGAGGAGGAGGAGGAGGAGAGCAAGGCCAGCAAGGCCAGCAGAGAACCACCCAGAUUAAAACGGAGCAGCUGAGUCCCAGCCACUACAGCGAGCAGCAGGGCUCCCCGCAGCACGCCACCUACGGCUCCUUCAACCCCCAGCACUACAGCACCUCCUCCUACCCCUCCAUCACCAGAGUACAGUACGACUACCCAGACCAGCAGGGCGCCGCCGGCUCCUACUACAGCCACACGGCGGCUCAGGGCUCCGGCCUGUACUCCAGCUUCAGCUACAUGAGCUCCAGCCAGAGGCCCAUGUACACUCCCAUCGCCGACUCCGCCGGGAUCCCCUCUGUGCCACAGACCCACAGUCCUCAGCACUGGGAGCAGCAGCCCACAUACACACAACUGUCCAGACCCUGAGGGACGCCGCUCCACAGCGCCGCGGCAGAAAAUCCUACCACAAGACUGUUUUUAUAUAUAUGUAGUUCUGAAAAUAUAUCUUUGGAUUGGCUCACGACAGUGCCUUUUUUAUCGGUUGAAAUUGUAAUUAUAUUUUUAGAUGUAAAAAUGUUAAAUCCUCUGUGAGGACAUUGUGUUUAUGAACAUGUUAGUAAGUGGAGGGCAGUGGAUGACAUGAGCCACCCUCUUUAUUGAGGUCAAGAUGAGAAUUCUCACUCCUGGGCCUGGAGAACUGAUAAAGAUGUCAUUAAUGCAGUUUAAACUUUCAUUUAUUUGUUGUUUUCUAUCAUUUUAACGUCAUUAUUUAAUGGAUGCACUAUUAACACUUAGAAAGCUCAAUGUUCCUGUCCCCAUUAUCAUUUUACACCUACUUAGGGGCAAGUUGUGCCGCACGACUAACUUCUUUUGGUGGGUAAUUAAGUCGUACUAAAUAGAUACUUUGAGGUAUAUCAGUAUAAGAAAUGUACUUUUAUUCUGCAGUAAAUUCAUUAAAUGUAAAAGUGGCUCAUCUUCCCCAGUUCUCUCUUCUGCUCUCAUUCUCAUCAGCAUCUCAUACUGAUUUCUAUGUUUUUUUAAUCACCUAAAGGGGCAGAGAAGAGAAGCUGGUUUAAAAUGCCUCAGUGGCCUUUCAUCUCACCAACUGACCUUCUUUUGUACUGUACAUAUUUUACUGUAAAUUUCAGGAGAUGCAAGUGUUGAACAACGCAGGUUUCAGGUAGAUUAGAACUUUUGGCCAUCGGUGAUUUAGUCAAAUAUUCGACUUGUUUGCUUUUUGCUGAAGUUACUGUGUUGGAGACACUACAGCAGGUGCCGUGAACUGUUCAGGGGCCUUACUGUGUUGCUAGAUGUAACAGCAAUGCUUGCUUGUUUGUUUUUAUUGUUUGUUUGUUUCUGCCUUGAUACCGUUGGUGCCUCCGGAGCCGCAGCAGUGAGGCUUCGCUCAGUGGCAUUGCAGUGUGAAAAAAAAACCACAGGACACUUUGGACUUCCUGCUUGAUGAGAUCGACGAUUUAACCCUCAUUCUGAUUAAUCUCUGCAGCCAUCGGGUCCGACUCUGAUGCGCUUCUGCCAUUCCGUCUCUUUCUCUUUAAAUCUUCGUCUUAAUUUAUUUCUUUAGCAUUAAUUUUAUUUGAGAAUAUCUAUUUGCAAUCAAACUUUUUCUUAAUUCAGCAACAUCUAACUGGGGUGAGAUCGGCGUCUGCCAUAUGUGGUACAGAUUUAUUUAUCACGCUUUUCUGCUCCAUUAUUGAGAACCAGACCCUAAUAUGUUCUCCACUGGUACUUUUUUUUUUAUCGCUGUGUGUCAUCUCUCACUCCUCAGAUUAGUCCAGUUUAAAGAGUAUUGUCUGGUGUACGACUUCUGAUUUUUUUUUUGUUUUCUUUUGAUUUGUGGCGUCUUCUGUUCAGGUCCUCUGCCUUUAUUUUGCUGUAAGAACUUUCUACCUUGAAAAAAGAGCGUUGCAUUUCUCAUUUUAUAUCUCGUGUCAUUAGUUGUCAUCUUCUUAUUGGGGUUCCCUUUGGUAAAACAUGGCAUCAUCUUAAAAACAUAUCUUUUGUAUUGUAUAUGUUUGCAAUAAAAGCAAAACAGAGA